rnacentral:rRNA from 1 species
UACGAAGGGGGCUAGCGUUGUUCGGAUUUACUGGGCGUAAAGCGCACGUAGGCGGAUCGUUAAGUCGGGGGUGAAAUCCUGGAGCUCAACUCCAGAACUGCCUUCGAUACUGGCGAUCUUGAGUCCGGAAGAGGUGAGUGGAACUCCUAGUGUAGAGGUAGAAUUCGUAGAUAUUAGGAAGAACACCAGUGGCGAAGGCGGCUCGCUGGUCCGGUACUGACGCUGAGGUGCGAAAGCGUGGGGAGCAAACAGG